rnacentral:rRNA from 1 species
CCCGGCGACCGGCGCACGGGUGAGUAACACGUAUGCAACCUGGCCGCCACAGGGGGAUAACCCGCGGAAACGCGACCUAAUACCCCGUGACGCCACCGGAGGGCAUCCUCCGGUGGCCAAAGGAGCGAUCCGGUGGCGGAUGGGCAUGCGGCGCAUUAGCUAGACGGCGGGGUAACGGCCCACCGUGGCGACGAUGCGUAGGGGUUCUGAGAGGAAGGCCCCCCACACUGGAACUGAGACACGGUCCAGACUCCUACGGAAGGCAGCAG